UGACCUUCUUCCCAAUUCUGCAAUGGAUUCCUCCUUUUUACCUGAUGUUCUCAUAACAUCCCAAGGAUAUGCAUGUUUGGUUAAAUACAGUGGAACCUUGGUGCACCAUAAAAGUGACUGUUCCCUCAAAUGAAGGCAAGAUUAAUAUUUUUUCUUUUGCAUACCAAAAGUGGCUGCGAUAGGCGGCAGCCCCAGUGACGCUGAAAUGGAGGAAUUGGAUUCAAUGAUGGAAAUUUACUGAGACAACAAUGAAUGAUGAGCAUUGAACAGAAAUUUUCAUGAAAAGCCAACACACUAGAUGGGCAAAAUUAAUGUGUUAAACUGAACUUUUCUUUAACCUUUUACUUUUUGGUAUUGUUUUACUGUGGUGGAUAAACCGUGAAACCUAUGCUUCUAACUGAAUUUACUUUUACAUUUUAAUUGUCUAUGCAGACCCUUUUAAAUAAGUAUUUAAACCAAGGCACAAGUGCAGUGUAUGCAUUGCCCUUUGCAUAUGCCAAAUACCUUGUCUGAGAAGAUAAUAGUCUUUUUUAGACUAUAUAUUUUAUAACCAUUGAAAAUAAAACAAAUGUAUGUUAUUGCAAGCAUAAUAGUCUCAAAAACAGUUGUGUUAGUUUAUUUCAGUAUUGGAUAUAAGCUUUAUGGGAUAUUGCUUCAUGGUAACAUCUGUGUUUUAAUAUACAGUAUUGCCUAAUAUACAUUAUUUAACUCAA